rnacentral:tRNA from 1 species
UGGGAUGUCGCCAAGUGGCAAGGCAUCGGAAUUUGAAUCCGACAUUCAAAGGUUCGAAUCCUUUCAUCCCAG